AAUAUUGGACAAUGGGCGAAAGCCUGAUCCAGCCAUGCCGCGUGUGUGAAGAAGGUCUUCGGAUUGUAAAGCACUUUAAGUUGGGAGGAAGGGUGGAGGUUAAUUCUCCUGCAUUUUUAAGGUAACCACCAGAUAAACACCGGCCUACCUCGUGCCCGCAUCCCGGGUAAUACGAAGGGUGCAAGCGUUAAUCGGAAUUACUGGGCGUAAAGCGCGCGUAGGUGGUUCGUUAAGUUGGAAGUGAAAGCCCCGGGCUUAACCUGGGAAUUGCUUUCAAAACUGACGAGCUAGAGUACGGUAGAGGGUAGUGGAAUUUCCUGUGUAGCGGUGAAAUGCGUAGAUAUAGGAAGGAACAUCAGUGGCGAAGGCGACUACCUGGACUGAUACUGACACUGAGGUGCGAAAGCGUGGGGAGCAAACAGG
rnacentral:rRNA from 1 species